rnacentral:tRNA from 2 species
UCCCUGGUGGUCUAGUGGUUAGGAUUCUGCACUUUCACUGCUGUGGCCCAGGUUCAAUCCCUGGUCUGGGAA